UACGAGGGGUGCAAGCGUUGCUCGGAAUUAUUGGGUGUAAAGGGCAGGUAGGUGGUCUCAUUUGUCAGAGGCGAAAGCCUUGGGCUUAACCCAAGAAGUGCCUCUGAAACGGUGAGACUGGAGUCUUGGAGAGGGUCGUGGAAUUCCCGGUGUAGCGGUGAAAUGCGUAGAGGUCGGGAGGAACACCAGAGGCGAAGGCGGCGACCUGGACAAGUACUGACACUCAACUGCGAAAGCGUGGGUAGCAAACAGG
rnacentral:rRNA from 1 species